rnacentral:lncRNA from 1 species
AGUCGGAGCAAGCGAAGGAGUUUAGACGAGUCUUACUUGUUUUCGCCGUAAAAUCUCAACGGAAACUCCAAUUGAGACGAAACGAAAAGCGUUUCGAUCGGGAUUCAAAAGAGAACACAAAGGAGGACCUUUCUUAGGUCUGACAGGUCGCUAUGUAGCGAGCUGGAGGCCUGACAGGUCGCUACGUAGCGAGUGGAAGCAAGCCAAGAA